GGGCAGUUUCAUCAUCCAAGGACAUCACUGGGAAGUGGGAAAAGGCAGAAGACAGGGCCCUGUUGGAGGAAGUCAGUUAUUGGGGGCUCUGUUUUGCACUGCCCCUUCCUGUCUGCUCUUUCUCUCUGCUUCCUGUCACCGUGACACUCAAGGGCAGGGGGUCAAAGCACGAGGAAUUAAGCCCUCUGAGACUGUGGGAUCGAAUAGACUUCCCCUCCCUGGGCUAUUGAGUGAUCUGUCAUGAAGAUGAGGGGGAAAGUAACCCAGAAGCCUGGGACAGAGGAGAGAUCAGUCUCAAAGGGCUUCGCACACAAGAUGGAGUCCUAUCUCUGAUAUCCGUGUUUAAAAGAAAAGAGAGAAAAAAAGCUGGGCGUGGGUGCCACCAGGAUUCCACCAGGAGAGGAAGUCAGAAACCGGUCUGAGGUCCACCUUUCCCCUUGGAGCAUCUGCACGCCAGGCAGGAAGGGGAAGGCAGAGCCUAGGAUGAGAGGGAUCCUGCCUGAUUUGGAGCAAGUUCCUUACCAUACCUGAAGGACUAGAGAAGAGAAAAGCCCUCCUUCAGGAGUCUUAGAUGUGGCUCUUUUAGGCAAAGGGUCUCCCCCAUGGAAAUUUUUUAAUGAAGCAGCUCUCUGAGACGA
rnacentral:sRNA from 1 species